UCCGCCUGCCCUGUGACCACAAGUUUAACGGCCGCGGUACUUUGACCGUGCGAAGGUAGCGCAAUCACUUGUCUUUUAAAUGGAGACCUGUAUGAAUGGCAUAACGAGGGCUAAGCUGUCUCCUUUCUCCGGUCAAUGAAAUUGAUCUGCCCGUGCAGAAGCGGGCAUAAAAACAUAAGACGAGAAGACCCUAUGGAGCUUCAGACACCAGGACAGCCCGUGUUAAUAAACCUUAACAAAAAGACCAAACAAAACGACCUCUGUCCCCCUGUCUUCGGUUGGGGCGACCGCGGGGGAACAAAAAUCCCCCACGUGGAAUAGGGAAACCCCCCUUAAAAAUAGGGCCACAGCCCUAAUAAACAGAAAAUCUGACCAACAAUGACCCGGCACAGCCGAUCAACGGACCCAGUUACCCUAGGGAUAACAGCGCAAUCCUCUUUUAGAGCCCAUAUCGACAAGAGGGUUUACGACCUCGAUGUUGGAUCAGGACAUCCUAAUGGUGCAGCCGCUAUUAAGGGUUCGUUUGUUCAACGAUUAACAGUCCUACGUGAUCUG
rnacentral:rRNA from 1 species